rnacentral:rRNA from 1 species
GAUGAACGCUGGCGGCGUGCCUAAUACAUGCAAGUCGAGCGAACAGACGAGGAGCUUGCUCCUCUGACGUUAGCGGCGGACGGGUGAGUAACACGUGGAUAACCUACCUAUAAGACUGGGAUAACUUCGGGAAACCGGAGCUAAUACCGGAUAAUAUAUUGAACCGCAUGGUUCAAUAGUGAAAGACGGUUUUGCUGUCACUUAUAGAUGGAUCCGCGCCGCAUUAGCUAGUUGGUAAGGUAACGGCUUACCAAGGCAACGAUGCGUAGCCGACCUGAGAGGGUGAUCGGCCACACUGGUACUAAGACACGGUCCAGACUCCUACGGGAGGCAGCAGUAGGGAAUCUUCCGCAAUGGGCGAAAGCUUGACGGAGCAACGCCGCGUGAGUGAUGAAGGUCUUCGGAUCGUAAAACUCUGUUAUUAGGGAAGAACAAAUGUGUAAGUAACUAUGCACGUCUUGACGGUACCUAAUCAGAAAGCCACGGCUAACUACGUG